UACGAAGGGGGCUAGCGUUGCUCGGAAUCACUGGGCGUAAAGGGUGCGUAGGCGGGUCUUUAAGUCAGGGGUGAAAUCCUGGAGCUCAACUCCGAAACUGCAUUCGAUACUGCCGUGCUUGAGGACUGGAGAGGAGACUGGAAUUUACGGUGUAGCGGUGAAAUGCGUAGAUAUCGUAAGGAAGACCAGUGGCGAAGGCGGGUCUCUGGACAGUUCCUGACGCUGAGGCACGAAGGUCAGGGGAGCAAACGGG
rnacentral:rRNA from 1 species